rnacentral:lncRNA from 1 species
UUCAGGUGUAAAAUAUUCUAUUCUUUAGCAUGUAAAUGGACAAAGAUUCUGUCACUAAUCAGAGGUUGUUUUACUUAUAAAUCAAUCAAUCACAGGCCCAGUGGAGAUAUAAAACUGAGGUCACUGGAUCUCAGAGGACCUAGAAUCAAUGUGUUCCUCAGAGUGAAGGGGAAAACUGAGUUGCUUGUUUUUCCAAAUCUUCCUGACUGAGAUUCUGGUGUGGGGACACUGAAAAAUUAAUGGGAAGACAUUACCUCAUCCUUCCAAGGUUGACUGGUACAAACAUAAGCCUGAAAAACGGCCCAGGUGUAAGACCGGGGGCCUUACCAAACGCUCCGAGGAGCUGACUAGUGAAGCACACCCAGGAAUCCCAGCGGUGCCUUCAGAAUGUAAGAC